GGAGCUUGCUCCCUGAUGUUAGCGGCGGACGGGUGAGUAACACGUGGGUAACCUGCCUGUAAGACUGGGAUAACUCCGGGAAACCGGGGCUAAUACCGGAUGGUUGUUUGAACCGCAUGGUUCAGACAUAAAAGGUGGCUUCGGCUACCACUUACAGAUGGACCCGCGGCGCAUUAGCUAGUUGGUGAGGUAACGGCUCACCAAGGCAACGAUGCGUAGCCGACCUGAGAGGGUGAUCGGCCACACUGGGACUGAGACACGGCCCAGACUCCUACGGGAGGCAGCAGUAGGGAAUCUUCCGCAAUGGACGAAAGUCUGACGGAGCAACGCCGCGUGAGUGAUGAAGGUUUUCGGAUCGUAAAGCUCUGUUGUUAGGGAAGAACAAGUGCCGUUCAAAUAGGGCGGCACCUUGACGGUACCUAACCAGAAAGCCACGGCUAACUACGUGCCAGCAGCCGCGGUAAUACGUAGGUGGCAAGCGUUGUCCGGAAUUAUUGGGCGUAAAGGGCUCGCAGGCGGUUUCUUAAGUCUGAUGUGAAAGCCCCCGGCUCAACCGGGGAGGGUCAUUGGAAACUGGGGAACUUGAGUGCAGAAGAGGAGAGUGGAAUUCCACGUGUAGCGGUGAAAUGCGUAGAGAUGUGGAGGAACACCAGUGGCGAAGGCGACUCUCUGGUCUGUAACUGACGCUGAGGAGCGAAAGCGUGGGGAGCGAACAGGAUUAGAUACCCUGGUAGUCCACGCCGUAAACGAUGAGUGCUAAGUGUUAGGGGGUUUCCGCCCCUUAGUGCUGCAGCUAACGCAUUAAGC
rnacentral:rRNA from 1 species